CCUACGGGGGGCAGCAGUGGGGGAUAUUGGACAAUGGGGGGAACCCUGAUCCAGCGACGCCGCGUGAGUGAAGAAGUAUUUCGGUAUGUAAAGCUCUGUCAGCAGGGAAGAAAGAAAUGACGGUACCUGACCAAGAAGCCCCGGCUAACUACGUGCCAGCAGCCGCGGUAAUACGUAGGGGGCAAGCGUUAUCCGGAAUUACUGGGUGUAAAGGGAGCGUAGACGGUUAAGUAAGUCUGGAGUGAAAGGCCGGGGCCCAACCCCGGGACUGCUCUGGAAACUAUUGAACUUGAGUGCAGGAGAGGCAGGCGGAAUUCCUGGUGUAGCGGUGAAAUGCGUAGAUAUCAGGAGGAACACCGGCGGCGAAGGCGGCCUGCUGGACUGAAACUGACGUUGAGGCUCGAAAGCGUGGGGAGCAAACAGGAUUAGAUACCCGAGUAGUC
rnacentral:rRNA from 1 species